UGGGGAAUAUUGGACAAUGGGCGAAAGCCUGAUCCAGCAAUGCCGCGUGAGUGAUGAAGGCCUUAGGGUUGUAAGGCUCUUUUACCCGGGAUGAUAAUGACAGUACCGGGAGAAUAAGCUCCGGCUAACUCCGUGCCAGCAGCCGCGGUAAUACGGAGGGAGCUAGCGUUAUUCGGAAUUACUGGGCGUAAAGCGUACGUAGGCGGUUAUUCAAGUCAGAGGUGAAAGCCCGGGGCUCAACCCCGGAACUGCCUUUGAAACUAGGUAGCUAGAAUCUUGGAGAGGUCAGUGGAAUUCCGAGUGUAGAGGUGAAAUUCGUAGAUAUUCGGAAGAACACCAGUGGCGAAGGCGACUGACUGGACAAGUAUUGACGCUGAGGUACGAAAGCGUGGGGAGCAAACAGGAUUAGAUACCCUGGUAGUCCACGCCGUAAACGAUGAUAACUAGCUGCCCGGGUUCAUAGAACUUGGGUGGCGCAGCUAACGCAUUAAGUUAUCCGCCUGGGGAGUACGGCCGCAAGGUUA
rnacentral:rRNA from 1 species